UACGAAGGGGGCUAGCGUUGUUCGGAAUUACUGGGCGUAAAGCGCACGUAGGCGGAUCUUUAAGUCAGGGGUGAAAUCCCGAGGCUCAACCUCGGAACUGCCUUUGAUACUGGGGAUAUCGAGUCCGGGAGAGGUGAGUGGAACUGCGAGUGUAGAGGUGAAAUUCGUAGAUAUUCGCAAGAACACCAGUGGCGAAGGCGGCUCACUGGCUCGGUACUGACGCUGAGGUGCGAAAGCGUGGGGAGCAAACAGG
rnacentral:rRNA from 1 species